GCUGGCGGCGUGCUUAACACAUGCAAGUCGAACGCGAACGUUUCCUUCGGGGAACUAGUAGAGUGGCGCACGGGUGAGUAACGCGUAAGUAAUCUACCCUCGCAUUCGGGAUAACCCACCGAAAGGUGUGCUAAUACCGGAUACGUCUCAUUUAAUAUCUUUUGAUGAGAGAAAGGUGGCCUCUUGAAUCAAAGCUACUGUGCGGGGAGGAGCUUGCGUACCAUUAGCUAGUUGGUAGGGUAACGGCCUACCAAGGCGAUGAUGGUUAGCGGGUCUGAGAGGAUGAUCCGCCACACUGGAACUGGAACACGGACCAGACUCCUACGGGAGGCAGCAGUGAGGAAUAUUGCGCAAUGGGGGCAACCCUGACGCAGCGACGCCGCGUGGAUGAUGAAGGCCUUCGGGUUGUAAAAUCCUGUCAGAUGGGAAGAAGUGUGUAUCACCUAAUACGUGAUACAUUUGACGGUACCAUCAAAGGAAGCACCGGCUAACUCCGUGCCAGCAGCCGCGGUAAUACGGAGGGUGCAAGCGUUGUUCGGAAUUACUGGGCGUAAAGCGCGCGUAGGCGGCUAGAUAAGUCAGAUGUGAAAGCCCGCGGCUCAACCGUGGAAGA
rnacentral:rRNA from 1 species